AGCAAAGAAUUAAAUAUUUUUAGAUUAUAAAAUGACCAAACAAAUUAAUGAUUACAUGAAAAUGAGAAAAAAAUAUGACUAUAUUUCUCAAAUUUGUAUACAUUCUCGUCCUAUUUAUUUAUCUACUUCUUGUGGUAAAUGGAGGCAAAGUAUCUCGCAAAUGUAAAACAAACUUCGAUUGUAAAGAUUAUUGUGUCUCACCUGCACUUUCCCUGUGCAUUUGGAUGAAAUGUUAUUGUGUUAUUUAACCAGAGAGUAUAUAUCAUGCAACAGUUUAUAUCAUUGUUUGCUUUUGCAACUUACUUGUCUCUAAAUAUUUGUACCCGUUUUACAAAAUAGUUAUCUAUAAAUAUUUACUUCUUUUCAAAACUACUAGAUGGUUAUGAUUAUGUAAAACGAUUAUGAUUUUUUUAUUAUGAUUAUGAUUAUGUAAAGUAAGCAUCUAUCAUUUAUUUUAUACUAUUAUGAUUAAGUGAUUUUAUCUUGGUUGAAAAACAACUUUACUUAAGUUUAGUCGACGAGGUAUCAUAGUGUUAUUGAAAGCGCGCCACUUUUUUUUCCAGGGAUACAGAGCUAGAAAUUUUGAGUAGUCGGAUAAAUAAAUAUAAUAUUUCAUUUUCAAAAUAUAAAUGUACAUCAUAAUUGUUCUC